rnacentral:lncRNA from 1 species
AUGCUCAGAGGAUGGUUGUGCAGCAGGGCCGUGGGCCCUUGCUACACUCCCCAUGUCCCUGGGACGUUGCUCUGGAAGUUCCUCACUUGCCUGCUUCCUUCUUCCUUCCCCUUCUGCCCAGCAUCAUCUUCCUCCUUCCUGGCUCGACUCUUCUUUGGUGGGCAGGUGACCUCAGGCCUCACUGGGUGCAAAUGCACAAAGCCAGUUCUGGCUGUUGAAGAGCAGGAGUCAAUGACAGAGCCUGUGUGGCCUCAGCCUCUUUACUGCUGCGCUCUGACCAUGGGCAGGAGACCAGGUGGCCCCACCAGGAAAAUGGAGCCAGACUGGAACUCUGGGGUGUCCUCAGCAUCGAUGCCCCAUGGGCCUGGAUUACCAUGAGACUCCAAUCAAGGGAGCACAGCAUCUUUCUGCAGAGGAAAAGAAAGGAAUCUCACUAAAGGCAAGAAAAGACCCUUUGAACUUCCCUUUAGAAGAAUCUCUUAUUCUUUUGAGGCUUUCAUGGUGAAGAGUUGGACGAGCCUGUGGUUUCAAAGCCUUGGUGGUAGCCUCCGACAUCUGUCACUUUAUGAGUUGCCCCAGAAGGCUAGAAGGCACCUUCAGAUCCAUUAGUUUUCUUCACAAAUACAUUUGUUCCCUUUCCCUUGGCCUCAUGUUGUCUUUCUUAGAAAGCGUUGCAGAUGUU